AAGUGUUUCCAGGGGACACCUAAAAGUGAUAGACACGCCCGGAAGGUGUUGCUGCUGCAGGUAUUUGGAGUUUCUAAAGCCGGUGUCCGUCUACUACGUGAGAGUUAACUAAACUAUAAAAAUGUUUUGCCCUUUUUGUGGCUUAUUAUUGGACUCAAUCCAGAGCCCAAGAUAUUGCUGCUCCUGUGGGCGAGAUGUUAGUUUCAUCCACGCUUCUACAGCAUCAACAAGUGCAGUGACUGUUGCUGGUACCAGUCAACAAAAGGCAUGUGCUAACCAGUUCAUGAGGUACAGGGCACAGAAAGAAAACGAGAGAAAGACGUUUUCUAAAGGCCCAAAGAAAGCACCAAUAGCAGUCAAGAUUUCGGUUGGGGUAAUGAACCAGACAAAACAUGGCCUCAAGCCGGUAAGAGGGAAAACACUUCCCCUAAAUGUGGAACCUCAGUUGACGGCGGAGCAACUUUUGGCGGUUGCC